rnacentral:rRNA from 1 species
GUUAGGAAUAUUGGACAAUGGGCGCAAGCCUGAUCCAGCCAUGCCGCGUGAGUGAUGAAGGCCUUCGGGUUGUAAAGCUCUUUAGCCGAUGAUUAUAAUGACUGUAGUCGGAAAAUAAGCCCCGGCUAACUUCGUGCCAGCAGCCGCGGUAAUACGAAGGGGGCGAGCGUUAUUCGGAAUCACUGGGCGUAAAGCGUGCGUAGGCGGCUUUGCAAGUUGGGAGUGAAAGCCCAGGGCUCAACCCUGGAAUUGCUCUCAAAACUGCAAGGCUCGAAUUCGGGAGAGGAUAGCGGAAUUGUCAGUGUAGCAGUGAAAUGCGUAGAUAUUGACAGGAACACCAGUGGCGUAAGCGGCUAUCUGGACCGAUAUUGACGCUGAGGCACGAAAGCGUGGGGAGCAAACAGGAUUAGAUACCCUGGUAGUCC